AACACCUCAAAGACUUCAAUUUGUUUUGAAUGGCUUUGGACUUGAGCAAUCCCAACACCAGUCUUUACGAUCGGUGGAGGGUUGCUUGAAAUGCAGGUGCAGCUGGACAUUCUCCUGAGCUAAAAGCAUAUUUAUUUAGUCCCGUCAAACGGAUUAUUACUUUUGCUGCAGCUAACAUAAAGGGAGUUGGACCGUAUUGGCUGACUGAUGCAGGAUUUCAAAAGGGUCGGCAACGAUUCUUGUAAA
rnacentral:misc_RNA from 1 species